AGUGAACGCUGGCGGUAGGCCUAACACAUGCAAGUCGAACGGCAGCACAGUAAGAGCUUGCUCUUACGGGUGGCGAGUGGCGGACGGGUGAGGAAUACAUCGGAAUCUACUUUUUCGUGGGGGAUAACGUAGGGAAACUUACGCUAAUACCGCAUACGACCUACGGGUGAAAGCAGGGGAUCUUCGGACCUUGCGCGAUUGAAUGAGCCGAUGUCGGAUUAGCUAGUUGGCGGGGUAAAGGCCCACCAAGGCGACGAUCCGUAGCUGGUCUGAGAGGAUGAUGAGCCACACUGGGACUGAGACAAGGUCCAGACUCCUACGGGAGGCAGCAGUGGGGAAUAUUGGACAAUGGGCGCAAGCUUGAUCCAGCCAUACCGCGUGAGUGAAGAAGGCCUUCGGGUUGUAAAGCCCUUUUGUUGGGAAAGAAAAGCAGCAGGUUAAUACCCCGCUGUUCUGACGGUACCCAAAGAAUAAGCACCGGCUAACUUCGUG
rnacentral:rRNA from 1 species